GUAUUGGUGAGGAUGUGGAGAAAAGGGAACCCUCAUACAUGGUGGGAAUGCAAACUGGUACAGCCAGUCUGCAAAAGGUUCUUCAAAAAGUUAAAAAAAGAACUACCUUAUGAUCCCUGAGCAAUUACACCACAAGAGUUUACCCACAGAAUACAAAAACACUAAUUCAGAGGGAUACAUGAACCCCAAUGUUUACAGCAGCAUUAUCUACAAUAGCCAAACUAUGGGAAACAGCCCAAGUGUCCACUGACUGUGUCAGUUAUUACUAAGCUUAAACUCUUUUAAGUAGUUUUAUGCAUCAGAAAAAUAUAGUUACUAAUAAUUUUUUAAAAAGAAUCUUGGGUACACAGAAUUGGAUGCAUCAAGAUUACAGGAAAGUAACUGUAAUAAAGCCAUGUUUAAGAUGAAGAUAAUUGUUCAAACUGGUCAUCUUCCUUCCUUUUUAGAGGCAGAGAAUUUUUAUAUAGAACUUACCUCUUGGAAUGGAUUUUUGUUCCUUGGAACUGAGCUGUAACAAAGAAAAAUGAUACUGAAAAUUUCACCUGAGGCUUUCAUUACAGAUGAAAGACGUAUGGAAAUACAUGCAUGUACACACACACUAAAUAUAAAAAUGUAUUUACAAUCCUUCCUCCUUCGCUUUCUUUGAGGCUUGUCCUUAGUUUUGUGUAUCCAAAUAGUGAAUGAGGAAGAAUAUGCUGGAAGUCUAUGUGUCAGUAUCUAAAAGGGAGUAGGGCAAUCUGUUAACUUUAAAAUGAAUGCAGAAGAAUAUGCUAGAAGAAGUGUAUGUAUCAGUAUCUAAAAGGGAGGAGGGCAAUCUGUUAGCUUUAAAAUAAAAUUCUAGGGGCACCUGGGAGCCUCAGUCGGUAAAGUGACCGACUCUUGGUUUUGUUUCAGGUCAUGAUCUCAUGGUUCGUCAGUUUGAGCUUCACAUCGGGAUUCCUACUGUCAGUGCACAGCCCACUUGGGAUUCUCUCUGUCCAUCUCAAAAUAAAUAAACUUAAAAAAUUCUAGGAGAAAACUGAGAGGGAGAAGGCAACACUGAGCAGCAGCUCUCAUAAGGAAUAAAAUCUGGGUAUAAGAUCGGCAACAUGGGGUACAGAGAAAUUAUAGAACUUUCCUAAGAUCCUACGACUACCCUCCUUGGUCUGUAGUGGAAAUGACCCUUACUCAGAAGGCAGACACAGCCAUGGGUCAAAACACUCUGCUUCACUGGGAAUCCAGCCUUGUUUGUCAUUGCCACCACUGAUUCAGACUACAUAAUCCUUCUUCACCCAGAGCAUCAGCAGCAAUUUCUGUGGCCAUAUGCUUCCAUAAAAGGUAAAAAUUCUGUCUGCUGUCCACGUCAAUGAGUUUCUGGAAGCCAGUAGCUGAGAAAGAGAUGUUCAACUUCAUCCUAAAGCAGUCUACCUACCACCUCUGAGGCACAUGAAAAAGAGCACGUCUCUCACUUUAAAUCAAAAGUUAGAAAUAAUUAAGUUUAGUGAGGAAGAAGGCAUGUCAAAAGCUGA